rnacentral:rRNA from 1 species
GACGAACGCUGGCGGCGUGCUUAACACAUGCAAGUCGAACGGAAGGGCCCUGCUUUUGUGGGGUGCUCGAGUGGCGAACGGGUGAGUAACACGUGAGUAACCUGCCCUUGACUUUGGGAUAACUUCAGGAAACUGGGGCUAAUACCGGAUAGGAGCUCCUGCUGCAUGGUGGGGGUUGGAAAGUUUCGGCGGUUGGGGAUGGACUCGCGGCUUAUCAGCUUGUUGGUGGGGUAGUGGCUUACCAAGGCUUUGACGGGUAGCCGGCCUGAGAGGGUGACCGGCCACAUUGGGACUGGGAUACGGCCCAGACUCCUACGGGAGGCAGCAGUGGGGAAUAUUGCACAAUGGGCGGAAGCCUGAUGCAGCAACGCCGCGUGCGGGAUGACGGCCUUCGGGCUGUAAACCGCUUUCGCCUGUGACGAAGCGUGAGUGACGGUAAUGGGUAAAGAAGCACCGGCUAACUACGUG